rnacentral:lncRNA from 9 species
UUAACUUUUUUUUAUUUCUUUAUUUUUUAAAUUAUUUAAAAAUUUUUAUUAUUUUAUGGCCGCAUCUGUGGCAUAUGGAAGUUCCUGUGCCAGGGGUUGAAUCUGAGCUGUAUCUGCUAACUAUGCUGCAGCUUUGGCAAUGCCACAUCCUUUUUAACCCAUUGCGCUGGGCCAAGGAUCAAACCCACACCUCCACAGCGACACAAGCUCCUGCAGUUGGAUUCUUAGCUCACUGUGGCACAGCGGGAACUCCUAAAAUAAGUACUUUCGUAAAUUAGACUAAGGUCAUUUUAUUUUAUUUUAUUUAUUUAUUUAUUUAUUUAUUUUUGGUCUUUUUGCUAUUUCUUUGGGGCCGCUCCCACGGCAUAUGGAAGUUCCCAGGCUAGGGGUCGAAUCGGAGCUGUAGCUGCCGACCUACGCCAGAGCCACAGCAAUGCGGGAUCUGAGCCGCGUCUGCAACCUACACCACAGCUCACGGCAACGCCGGAUCGUUAACCCACUGAGCAAACUAAGAGUCCGGACUUACCAGCUGGUGGAAGCAGCCUGAUGUCUUCUCUACCAGUUCCUGGAUGCCUAUAUGGAGGAGGGGUCUGGGCAGUAGUGCUGAUGUAGUGCUGGAGAGCCAGAUAACCCUGUUUUUAAAUAUCUGUAUUAUGUCAGGCAGGUGCAUUCACCUCACCGAGCCUCAGUUUCCUCCUCUGUAAAAGUAGAAUGAUAUACACAGGUGGUUGUUAGGGUUAAAUUAGAUGUUUGCAGUAUUUGCACAUAAGUGCUCAGUUAAAAUCUCAAAUAUCUGAUUGCUGCUUACUCUACCCGACACAUGCUUUGUCAUCCCUCUUGAUUCCACAUCAGAAUUACUUGGAGAGUGUUCAAAUCCUGAUGCUCUUGAAAACGUUAUGCUAGGUGAAAGAAGCCAGACACAGCAGAUUACGUUUUGUAUGUAUAUGAAAUGUCCAGAAUGGAUAAAUCCAUAGAGACAGAUGUAGAUUGGUGGUUGCCAAGGGUUGAGGGGUUGGGGAGAAUCUGCUUUUAAUGGUGAAUGGUUUUACUUCAGAGUGAUGGGAAUGUUUUGGAACUAGAGUAGAACUGGUUGCACAACAUCGUGAAUGUUCUACAUGCCACUGGCCAUUCUUUCUUUUUCCCUCCCUCUCUCCCUCCCUCUCCUCCCUCCCUAUCUACCUGCGGCAUAUUGAAGCUUAAUUGUUAUGCAGUGGACUGCACAUAUUUAAAUUGUAAAAUUUGAUGAGAUAGGACAUAUGUACCCGCCUGUUACUACAGUAAAGAGGGUAAACGUAUCCAUUGCCUUUUAAAAUUUCCUUAUGCCCCUUUUUAAUUCCUCCUUUCCACCGCUCUCCUCUGUCAUCCCCAGGCAGUCGCUAUUCUCCUUUCUAUUAUAGAGUUUACUUUUCAUUUUCUAUAAUUUUAUGUAAAUGGAAUCAUAUAGUAUGCAUUAGAUUUUAUAGGCUCCUUUUAAUCAGCACUUAUUUUGAGAUUCACUUAUUAAUUGCAUAUAAUAGUUUCUACUUUUAUUGUUGAAAGUAUUCCAUUUUAUGGAUAUACCACAGAUUUGUCCAUUCACCCAGUAAUGGCUAUUUGGGAGGUUUUCAGCUUGGGAUAUUACAAUUAAGGCUGCUGUGGGCUGGAAUUCCCUUUGUGGUGCAGCAGAAACAAAUCCGACUAGGAACCAUGAGGUUGUGAGUUUGAUCCCUAGCCUCGCUCAGUGGGUUAAGGAUCCAGUGUUGCCGUGAGCUGUGGCGUAGGUUGAAGACGCAGCUUGGAUCUGGCGUUGCUGUGGCUGUGGUGUAGGCUGGCAGCUGUAGCUCUGAUUAGACCCCCUAGCCUGGGAACCUCCAUGCUGUGGGUGCAGCCCUAA